ncrna:unclassified sequences RAGATH-20 RNA
UCUACGAAUUAACGUAGACUCAAACAAGUGUAAGGCAGUAAUAAUACUGACCGAUGCCGGAGAGAGGACAUUUGACAACGUGCCACUGAUCAUGUGCCUAAGAUC